rnacentral:rRNA from 1 species
CUGGUUGAUCCUGCCAGUAGUCAUAUGCUUGUCUCAAAGAUUAAGCCAUGCAUGUCCAAGUACAAGCCUCACUAAGGUGAAACCGCGAAUGGCUCAUUAAAUCACACCUAAUCUACUGGAUAGUUAACAGGUACUUGGAUACCUGCGGUAAUUCUGGAGCUAAUACAUGCGAAAAGCCUCGAACUUACGUGAGAGGUGCUUUUAUUAGAUCAAAACCAAUCGGCUUCGGCUGUACUCUUGGUGACUCUGAAUAACUUUGGGCUGAUCGUAUAGCCUUGCGCUGACGACAUAUCCUUCGAAGGUGUGCCCUAUCAACUGUCGACUGUGGCAUAGACGCCCACAGUGGUUUUGACGGGUAACGGGGAAUCAGGGUUCGAUUCCGGAGAGGGAGCCUUAAAAACGGCUACCACAUCUAAGGAAGGCAGCAGGCACGCAAAUUACCCAAUGAUCGAAGAUCGAGGUAGUGACGAAAAAUAACGAUCCAGGACUCAUCCGAGGCCCUGGAAUCGGAAUGAGUACACUUUAAAACCGUCCCCGAGGAUCUAUUGGAGGGCAAGUCUGG